rnacentral:rRNA from 1 species
GACGAACGCUGGCGGCGUGCUUAACACAUGCAAGUCGAACGGAAAGGCCCUGCUUUUGUGGGGUGCUCGAGUGGCGAACGGGUGAGUAACACGUGAGUAACCUGCCCUUGACUUUGGGAUAACUUCAGGAAACUGGGGCUAAUACCGGAUAGGAGCUCCUGCUGCAUGGUGGGGGUUGGAAAGUUUCGGCGGUUUGGGAUGGACUCGCGGCUUAUCAGCUUGUUGGUGGGGUAGUGGCUUACCAAGGCUUUGACGGGUAGCCGGCCUGAGAGGGUGACCGGCCACAUUGGGACUGAGAUACGGCCCAGACUCCUACGGGAGGCAGCAGUGGGGAAUAUUGCACAAUGGGCGGAAGCCUGAUGCAGCAACGCCGCGUGCGGGAUGACGGCCUUCGGGUUGUGAACCGCUGUCGCCUGUGACGAGGCGUGAGUGACGGUAAUGGGUAAAGAAGCACCGGCUAACUACGUG